CCUAGGGCGGCUGCAGUGGGGAAUAUUGGACAAUGGGGGCAACCCUGAUCCAGCCAUGCCGCGUGUGUGAAGAAGGCCCUCGGGUUGUAAAGCACUUUCAGUGAGGAAGAACGCCUGGUGGUUAAUACCCAUCAGGAAAGACAUCACUCACAGAAGAAGCACCGGCUAACUCCGUGCCAGCAGCCGCGGUAAUACGGAGGGUGCGAGCGUUAAUCGGAAUUACUGGGCGUAAAGCGCGCGUAGGUGGCUUGAUAAGCCGGUUGUGAAAGCCCCGGGCUCAACCUGGGAACGGCAUCCGGAACUGUCAAGCUAGAGUGCAGGAGAGGAAGGUAGAAUUCCCGGUGUAGCGGUGAAAUGCGUAGAGAUCGGGAGGAAUACCAGUGGCGAAGGCGGCCUUCUGGACUGACACUGACACUGAGGUGCGAAAGCGUGGGUAGCAAACAGGAUUAGAUACCCCGGUAGUC
rnacentral:rRNA from 1 species